rnacentral:rRNA from 1 species
ACGGCCGCGGUACCCUAACCGUGCGAAGGUAGCAUAAUCACUUGUUCUUUAAAUGAGGACUCGUAUCAACGGCAUCACGAGGAUCCUACUGUCUCCCCCCUCUAAUCGGUGAAACUGAUCUCUCCGUGAAGAAGCGGAGAUGUACAUAUAAGACGAGAAGACCCCAUGGAGCUUUAAACCCAACAACACCCGCCCCCCUCCAAAUCCCAUUAUUUACCCGGUGACUGUUUGUUUGGUUUUAGGUUGGGGUGACCGCGGAGUAUAAGAUAUCCUCCAUGAAAAAAAGCUAACUGCCCUUAUUAGAGAAAGACACUUCCAAAAAAUAAUAAAUUAAUUUUAAAUGAUCCGACAUUCGAUCAACGAACCAAGUUACCCUGGGGAUAACAGCGCAAUCCGUCCCGAGAGCCCCUAUCGACAGGCGGGUUUACGACCUCGAUGUUGGAUCAGGGUAUCCCAGUGGUGCAGCAGCUACUAAAGGUUCGUUUGUUCAACGAUUAAAACCCUACGUGAUCU